rnacentral:lncRNA from 1 species
GCCAGGGCUUCGAACUGAAGGACAAUAACGGGGAGUAGCUGUCAGGCCCUGGGAGUGUCUGAGUGUAAGUGGAGAUGGGUUUGGGAUCACUGAGGGAUGCGUGGGAGCCAUCCCUGUAUAGGUACAGGUCAUAGGGAGAUACUCUCGUGAGGCCUGUGAGUGUCUAGGGUUGUCCUGGGUGCCUGGGGCUGACUGUGGCAGAAAUCUGGGGAAGGCUGGAGAGAAGCUGGGAGACCCAGGAGAGUCCCUGAAGGCAGGGGGUGAAGAGGUGAAAGAAAUGGGGGAGGGUUGCAGUAAGGUCCGUGAGUUUGUAGGUGAUUCCUGGGUGCGGGAAGCUGACUCCAGGUGAAAUCUGGAGAUGGUUGGAGAGUAGCUGAGA